GCGGGGAUGGCAGAGUGGUCUAAUGCAACAGUCUCGAAAACUGUGUCCGCAAGGACUCGUCGGUUCAAAUCCGGCUCCCCGCG
rnacentral:tRNA from 1 species